CAGCAACAUUCUGACAAAUCCAAAUACCACUGAAUUGAACUCUAGGUGCAAAAUUAAUUGGGAACUACUUGUAUAAGCCAACAACCACAGUUUCAUAAGAUCUUUGAGCUAGGCAACGUGCAGAUCCUCAAGCCUACAUCUGAUUGCAAAUCAAUUGCUGAAUACAAAUUGUUCCAUAGCAGAAAACAAGUUCUGCAGUAGCCAGUUCUAGUCUUCAAGAUUGAAACAGCAAUGUAUAAGAGUUGAAUGAUCAAAACAAGCAAGGAGGCAGUUGGACAAGUUCAAGCAGUGCACAUAUGGAGCAGCAGAGUAUUAUGGCUUGAUCUUUUGGAGUUUUGAAUGUGUAGUCCGUUUUAGAUUUAGUUUCCUUUGUUUUCUUGUAAAAGGCCAUUAAGACCAAGUGUUGGAAGAGUCCUUGGUGCUCUCUCCAAUCUUGGCAAUUUUCUUUACUUCCAUUGCUAGUAGAUGGUGAGUGUGUCUUGUUAACCAAAAGCUACAAGCCUCACCUAGGAUUUCUUUUAUUUUAUUUUCUUAUUCCCACGUUCUAGACUUUUGUUCCAUUAGAAGUCCGAAAAUUAGAAGUCUAGGUGUUUUUAACNUUCUUUUUGUUUGUUUGAGUCCAUUUUUUUUAAAUUCAAUAGUGAAUCUUACUUUGAAAAUGGUUAAGUAAGUAGCUUUAGACAUUNUGGCUAGGUAAGACUUGGUAUUUAAGCGGCCUUUGGCUCACCUCUCUUACCUGGGAAUUGUCUCUUGGCAAAAUCUUAAACCUUUUCAAACUAAGAAUCCACUUUUGAAAUUAAAAGAUGAAUGAGAAAGGAAUGAGAGGUAAGAAAGGAAUANAANUGAGUGAGCUUAGGGACUUGUUUGCCCAAUACAUGAAAAAUCAAAAUGAGUGUGAGCAAAAAGAAAGUAGAAAGUUUGUACCUCCAACCAUUAAAAGAAACCUAAAACUAAUGAGAGAUAGUAUUCAAAAGGGAAAAAUAUUUCUUGAGAGUUUAAAAGACCAUGGUUUUCUUCAUAGAGAAAUUGAGUUUGGAGCCAGACUUAAAGAGCUUA